rnacentral:rRNA from 1 species
UACGUAGGGUGCGAGCGUUAAUCGGAAUUACUGGGCGUAAAGCGUGCGUAGGCGGUUCGUUAAGUUCGUUGUGAAAGCCCCGGGCUCAACCUGGGAAUGGCGUUUGGGACUGGGUCGCUAGAGUGUGGCAGAGGGAGGUGGAAUUCCACGUGUAGCAGUGAAAUGCGUAGAGAUGUGGAGGAACACCGAUGGCGAAGGCAGCCUCCUGGGCCAGCACUGACGCUCAUGCACGAAAGCGUGGGGAGCAAACAGG